rnacentral:rRNA from 1 species
GCAGCCGCGGUAAUACGGAGGGUCCGAGCGUUAUCCGGAAUCAUUGGGUUUAAAGGGUCCGCAGGCGGUCUAUUAAGUCAGAGGUGAAAUCCCAUAGCUCAACUAUGGAACUGCCUUUGAUACUGGUUGACUUGAGUCAUAUGGAAGUGGAUAGAAUGUGUAGUGUAGCGGUGAAAUGCAUAGAUAUUACACAGAAUACCGAUUGCGAAGGCAGUCUACUACGUAUGUACUGACGCUGAGGGACGAAAGCGUGGGGAGCGAACAGGAUUAGAUACCCUGGUAGUCCACGCCGUAAACGAUGGAUACUAGUUGUUGGGAUUUAUCUCAGUGACUAAGCGAAAGUGAUAAGUAUCCCACCUGGGGAGUACGGUCGCAAGACUGAAACUCAAAGGAAUUGACGGGGGCCCGCACAAGCGGUGGAGCAUGUGGUUUAAUUCGAUGAUACGCGAGGAACCUUACCAGGCUUAAAUGUAGUCUGACAGCUUUAGAGAUAGAGUUUCUUCGGACAGAUUACAAGGUGCUGCAUGGUUGUCGUCAGCUCGUGCCGUGAGGUGUCAGGUUAAGUCCUAUAACGAGCGCAACCCCUGUUAUUAGUUGCCAGCAUGUAAAGAUGGGGACUCUAAUAAGACUGCCAGCGCAAGCUGCGAGGAAGGUGGGGAUGACGUCAAAUCAUCGCGGCCCUUACGUGCCUGGGCCACACACGUGCUACCCUGGUAUGGACAAUGAGCAGCCAUCUGGCAACAGAGAGCGAAUCUAUAAACCAUAUCACAGUUCGGAUCGGAGUCUGCAACUCGACGCCGUGAAGCUGGAAUCGCUAGUAAUAGGAUAUCAGCCAUUAUCCGGUGAAUACGUUCCCGGGCCUUGUACACACCGCCCGU